rnacentral:rRNA from 1 species
UGUGUAGGCGGUGCUCUAAGUUCGGUGUGAAAUCUCCCGGCUUAACUGGGAGGGUGCGCCGGAAACUGGAGUGCUCGAGCGUGGGAGAGGAAAGCGGAAUUCCUGGUGUAGCGGUGAAAUGCGUAGAUAUCAGGAAGAACACCUGCGGUGUAGACGGCUUUCUGGACCAUUGCUGACGCUGAGACACGAAAGCGUGGGUAGCAAACA